rnacentral:rRNA from 1 species
UAAUCCCCAAUAAGCCGAGAGGUGAAACGGGUAUCCUGCUAGAAGAGGAGCUCGCGUCCUGAUUAGUUAGUUGGUGGGGUAAAAGCCUACCAAGGCAGUGAUCGGUAGCUGGUCUGAGAGUGAUGACGCACCACAGCUGGACUGAUAUCACGGCCCAGACUCCUACGGGUAGGCAGCAGUGGGGAAUUUUCCGCAAUGUGCGAAAGCCUGACGGAGCAACGCCGCGUGUGGGAAGACUGCUCUUGGGCUGUCAACCACUUAUCUCAGGGAAGAAGACCUGACGGUACCUGAGGAAUCAGCCUCGGUUAACUCCGUGCCAGCAGUCGCGGUAAUACGGAGGAGGCAAGCGUUAUCCGGAAUUAUUGGGCGUAAAGCGUCCGCAGGGGGGCGCAUCAAGUCUGCUGUUAAAGGUCGGAGCUAAACUCCGGUAGAGCACGUGGAAACUGGUGCGCUAGAGGGCGACAGGGGUAGAGGGAAUUCCCAGUGUAUCGGUGAAAUGCGUACGAGAUUGGGAAGAACACCGUUGGCGACAGCGCUCUACUGGGUCGCACCUGACCCUCAGGGACGAGAGCUAAGGUAGCGAAAGGGCUUAGAUAGCCCUGUAGUCUUAGCCGUGGACGAUUGGAUACUAGGCGU